rnacentral:lncRNA from 1 species
AGGAGACUUAUAGUUCGAGAAUAUGUUAAAAUUAUUUAUUGCAUUAGAUGUAUGAAUUGAAAGAAUUAUUCAAUUUUACACUAAACGCCGGGACUACCCGGGGGAGUAUAAAAUUUAAUAAGUUCUUUGCAAUCAUGAUGGUUGAACUCAACUAUGCCAAUAGGAACAACCUGACUACCAGGGGACUAUUUGACAUAGAGCUAUUUAAGGAAAUUGUAUGGGGAUACAAUUGGUAAGAGUACCUACCUUUAAAAUAUAAGUGAGAAAUCUAUUUAAGGAAAUUGUAUGAGGAUACAAUUGGUAAGAGUACCUACCUUUAAAAUAUA